rnacentral:rRNA from 1 species
GAUGAACGCUGGCGGCGUGCCUAAUACAUGCAAGUCGAGCGAACGGACGAGAAGCUUGCUUUUCUGAUGUUAGCGGCGGACGGGUGGGUAACACGUGGAUAACCUACCUAUAAGACUGGGAUAACUUCGGGAAACCGGAGCUAAUACCGGAUAAUAUUUUGAACCGCAUGGUUCAAAAGUGAAAGACGGUCUUGCUGUCACUUAUAGAUGGAUCCGCGCUGCAUUAGCUAGUUGGUAAGGUAACGGCUUACCAAGGCAACGAUGCAUAGCCGACCUGAGAGGGUGAUCGGCCACACUGGAACUGAGACACGGUCCAGACUCCUACGGGAGGCAGCAGUAGGGAAUCUUCCGCAAUGGGCGAAAGCCUGACGGAGCAACGCCGCGUGAGUGAUGAAGGUCUUCGGAUCGUAAAACUCUGUUAUUAGGGAAGAACAUAUGUGUAAGUAACUGUGCACAUCUUGACGGUACCUAAUCAGAAAGCCACGGCUAACUACGUG